rnacentral:rRNA from 1 species
UACGAAGGGGGGCUAGCGUUGCUCGGAAUCACUGGGCGUAAAGCGCACGUAGGCGGAUUGUUAAGUCAGGGGGUGAAAUCCUGGAGCUCAACUCCAGAACUGCCUUUGAUACUGGCGAUCUUGGAGUCCGGGAGAGGUGAGUGGAACUCCGAGUGUAGAGGUGAAAUUCGUAGAUAUUCGGAAGAACACCAGUGGCGAAGGCGGCUCACUGGCCCGGUACGUGACGCUGAUG